UACGGGGGGUGCGAGCGUUGUCCGGAAUCACUGGGCGUAAAGGGCGCGUAGGUGGUUUGAUAAGGGUGUGGUGAAAGUCCGGGGCUCAACCCCGGAUCUGCCGUGCCGACUGUCAAACUCGAGGACUGUAGAGGCAGACGGAAUUCCGGGUGUAGCGGUGGAAUGCGUAGAGAUCCGGAGGAACACCGGUGGCGAAGGCGGGUCUCUGGGCAGUAACUGACGCUGAGGAGCGAAAGCGUGGGGAGCGAACAGG
rnacentral:rRNA from 1 species